CCUGCGGAAGGAUCAUUACAAGUGAGGCCGUCGAACACCGGUCAAACGGUGGGGAGGCGGCUAACACCCACCCGUGUCUACAUACUCUUGUUGCUUUGGCGGGCCGUGGCCUCCACUGCGGGCUCUGCUCUGCUCGUGUGUGCCCGCCAGAGGACCAAACUCUGAAUGUUAGUGAUGUCUGAGUACUAUUUAAUAGUUAAAACUUUCAACAACGGAUCUCUUGGUUCUGGCAUCGAUGAAGAACGCAGCGAAAUGCGAUAAGUAAUGUGAAUUGCAGAAUUCAGUGAAUCAUCGAAUCUUUGAACGCACAUUGCGCCCUGUGGUAUUCCGCAGGGCAUGCCUGUUCGAGCGUCAUUUAACCACUCACGCCUGGCGUGGUGUUGGGGCACGCGGUCUCGCGGCCCUCGAAAGCAGUGGCGGCGCCGGUGGGCUCUAAGCGUAGUACAUACUCCCGCUAUAGAGUUCCCUCGGUGGCUCGCCAGAACCCCCUAAUUUUUACCGGUUGACCUCGGAUCAGGUAGGGAUACCCGCUGAACUUAA
rnacentral:rRNA from 1 species